GGAAGCCUACGGGAGGCAGCAGUGAGGAAUAUUGGUCAAUGGGCGCGAGCCUGAACCAGCCAAGUCGCGUGAGGGAAGACGGUCCUAUGGAUUGUAAACCUCUUUUGUCGGGGAGCAAAAGACGCCACGCGUGGCGUUCCGAGAGUACCCGAAGAAAAAGCAUCGGCUAACUCCGUGCCAGCAGCCGCGGUAAUACGGAGGAUGCGAGCGUUAUCCGGAUUUAUUGGGUAUAAAGGGUGCGCAGGCGGAAGAUCAAGGCAGCGGGAAAAUUGAGAGGCGCAACCUC
rnacentral:rRNA from 1 species